rnacentral:rRNA from 2 species
AAGUCUCCUGAAGGAACGUUGAAGACGACGACGUUGAUAGGCCGGGUGUGUAAGCGCAGCGAUGCGUUGAGCUAACCGGUACUAAUGAACCGUGAGGCUUAACCCUACAACGCCGAAG